rnacentral:miRNA from 1 species
ACUAGUACCCCAAGUCAUCUGGUGCUUUUAUAUCCCCUUUAACACAGGAUUAUACCCCAGUUUCCCUCCCCACAUUCUACAGUUUGAACUUCUAAUUUGAUGG